rnacentral:rRNA from 1 species
ACUCCUACGGGAGGCAGCAGUGGGGAAUAUUGGACAAUGGGCGGAAGCCUGAUCCAGCAACGCCGCGUGAGGGAUGACGGCCUUCGGGUUGUAAACCUCUUUCAGCACCGACGAAGCGAGCCUUUGGGUGAGUGACGGUAGGUGUAGAAGAAGGACCGGCCAACUACGUGCCAGCAGCCGCGGUAAUACGUAGGGUCCGAGCGUUGUCCGGAAUUAUUGGGCGUAAAGGGCUCGUAGGCGGUUUGUCGCGUCGGGAGUGAAAACACCGGGCUUAACUCGGUGCUUGCUUUCGAUACGGGCAGACUGGAGGUAUGCAGGGGAGAACGGAAUUCCUGGUGUAGCGGUGAAAUGCGCAGAUAUCAGGAGGAACACCGGUGGCGAAGGCGGUUCUCUGGGCAUUACCUGACGCUGAGGAGCGAAAGUGUGGGGAGCGAACAGGAUUAGAUACCCUGGUAGUCCACACCGUAAACGUUGGGCGCUAGGUGUGGGAUCCAUUCCACGGGUUCCGUGCCGUAGCUAACGCAUUAAGCGCCCCGCCUGGGGAGUACGGCCGCAAGGCUAAAACUCAAAGGAAUUGACGGGGGCCCGCACAAGCGGCGGAGCAUGCGGAUUAAUUCGAUGCAACGCGAAGAACCUUACCUGGGUUUGACAUACACCGGAAAGCUGCAGAGAUGUGGCCCCUUUUGUCGGUGUACAGGUGG